CAGUAGCCACGGUAAUACGGAGGGAGCUAGCGUUGUUCGGAAUUACUGGGCGUAAAGCGCGCGUAGGCGGUUACUCAAGUCAGAGGUAAAAUCCCAGGGCUCAACCCUGGAACUGCCUUUGAUACUGUCGAUCUGGAGUAUGGAAGAGGUGAGUGGAAUUCCGAGUGUAGAGGUGAAAUUCGUAGAUAUUCGGAGGAACACCAGUGGCGAAGGCGGCUCACUGGUCCAUUACUGACGCUGAGGUGCGAAAGCGUGGGGAGCAAACAGGAUUAGAUACCCCCGUAGUCCCUGUCUCUUAUAC
rnacentral:rRNA from 1 species